rnacentral:lncRNA from 1 species
AUGGAAACUCUCUCUCUCUCUCUCCCUCGGUGCAGAUCGCCAGUGCUGGAAUCUAUCCUCAUCGCCCGCAUCUGACUCUCUCUCCUCAUCACCGCAUCGUUUUUGAUCGCUGUGAUUUUCUCUCCGUGCAGAUCGCCAACGCCGGACUCUCUCCUCAUCGCGGCCUCAUUUUUUAUCACUGCGAUUUUCUCUUGGCUCAGAUAGUCGGUGCCGGAUUCCCUGCCACGUGCUCUCUCUCCACCCUUGGCUCCGUCAUCGUGGGCGGCUUUAUCGUCGUGGGUGGCUUCAUUGUUGUGUCCUCUCGCCUGUGUAAGCUCAAUUUCGUUAUUUCCCAUUGGAUUUUGUCUCACCGCCACUCGCCUGAAGACGACAUUCGGUGGUCUGCAACCAGGAAGAAGGGAG